AUUGAACGCUGGCGGCAGGCCUAACACAUGCAAGUCGAGCGGCAGCGGGAAAGUAGCUUGCUACUUUUGCCGGCGAGCGGCGGACGGGUGAGUAAUGCCUGGGAAAUUGCCCAGUCGAGGGGGAUAACAGUUGGAAACGACUGCUAAUACCGCAUACGCCCUACGGGGGAAAGCAGGGGACCUUCGGGCCUUGCGCGAUUGGAUAUGCCCAGGUGGGAUUAGCUAGUUGGUGAGGUAAUGGCUCACCCAGGCGACGAUCCCUAGCUGGUCUGAGAGGAUGAUAGGCCAAACUGGAACUGAGACACGGUCCAGACUCCUACGGGAGGCAGGAGUGGGGAAUAUUGCACAAUGGGGGAAACCCUGAUGCAGCCAUGCCGCGUGUGUGAAGAAGGCCUUCGGGUUGUAAAGCACUUUCAGCGAGGAGGAAAGGUUGAUGCCUAAUACGUAUCAACUGUGACGUUACUCGCAGAAGAAGCACCGGCUAACUCCGUGCCAGCCGCCGCGGUAA
rnacentral:rRNA from 1 species